UAAUGCUUUCAAGGUUUUUGUUUUAAUGAAUCUUUAAGUCAAGUUUUACUUCUGGCUUUUUGAAAGAUAGUUAAAGUUUAUUACAAUAUUUUGUAUUAGGUCAAGAGCAGAGAUAGAGCAUGAAGCGCUGAUUGAUGGAAACCUGGCUACUGAAGCGAACCUCAUCAUCUUGGACACAUUAGAGAUUGUUGUUCAGACUGUUUCUGUAACAGAAUCCAAAGAGAGCAUUCUGGGUGGGGUGCUGAAAGUGCUACUCCAGAGCAUGGCCUGCAACCAAAGUGCAGUGUAUCUGCAGCACUGCUUUGCCACGCAGAGAGCCCUGGUCUCAAAGGUGGGUUAUUUUGUACCUGUGGACUUAUGUGACUUCACUUUCUUCUGUAACACUGCCUAAGGUCAUUUGCACACUCACUGGUCAAUACAUUGUAAAUUAAUUUUAAACAUAGUACCCUGGGUCCUAUGUCUCUGCUUCUGUCCCAGAACUUGUAUUGAUAUGAAUUAUUGGUAAUCAUUUUCUUAAAAUCUUAUUUUGAGAAAAGCUUGAAAUCAGUAGGCUUUUGUUUUCUUUCAUCUUGUUCUGCCUGGGUUUUGUGGUACUGGAAAUUGAGGCUGGGUCCUUGCACAUGUGAUGAAAGCAUUCUUUCACUGAGCUCUGUCUCCCACCCAUAUAUAUUUUAAGGUCAUUUAUUAAGAAUUUAAUAUAUUUUACACACCCUUUGCUGUGUAAAGGUGGCUCUGUGUUCCACUGCCUCAGAGGUUUAUUUGUUGUUUGCUCCCCCCAAAUAUGUGAUUUUUAAAUUAAUGAAUUAAUUAAUUAUGUUGAGGCUUACAUGUUUAUACUGUUUUCAUAGUAUCUGACUAAUGCCUCACAACAAUCUAGAUAAUAUUAGGUCUACCUCGUGGAAAAAGACACUUGCCCAGGGUCACACCACUACCCUAACAAGUGACAUCAGCCUGUCAUUUGUAUUUUAACCCAGCCUGUCUAGCUGUGGUUUGCACUGUUGACCUUAACUAAAAUUGUCUCCUAGCCAUUCUUUUUAAUUUCUCGGCUAACCUCCCAGAUUUCCAAGUCAGGCUAUAUUAAUACAUCUGUGUGUCUUCCAGUUUCCUGAGCUCCUGUUUGAGGAAGAGACAGAGCAGUGUGCUGAUCUGUGCCUCCGGCUUCUCCGACAUUGCAGCAGCAGCAUCAGUACCAUACGCUCACAUGCUAGUGCCUCCCUUUACCUCCUCAUGAGGCAAAACUUUGAGAUUGGGAAUGUAAGUGUUCUGCCAUGAAAAUAUCUGGGUUCAUAAUGAAAAACAUCUUUAAUAGACAAGUAUUAAGAACUUAGAAUGUCUUUUAUUUCCCAUCCUGUGGAUGUCUUACAAAAGUGUGUGCAUGGGUUCAUGAAUGCGUGUGAUACGUGUUUGGUAAUAGAAACUCACAUUGCUACAUUUUUAUUAGGUGCCUGGUUCUCAUAACCCAGAUCAAAAGAUUCUAGUUACUUUAUAGAUUGUGUUUAGUUAUUUAAAGUCCUUAAAUUUUGACUACACAUGGAAUUUCUUAAUACAUGUUCUUGAUAACAUGUAAAUGUUGUUCUGGGAAAUGUUUCUUUUUUUCUAUUGGUGGUGGGGAGGAGACAAUUUAAAGAUUAGUAUUAGAUAGUACCUGUACAUAGAAAUUGAUAAUUUAAAACUGUCAGUAAUGCUUAUUUGUUGACCACUACUGUCUUAUCAGUUUCCACCACAUCAUGUAACACAUUUAACUGCCUUAAAUACUUGAAUGUUAUUGCUCACACUGUGGGAGCCACAGGCGUAUUAUAAAGAAAUGAGUGAUGUGCAUUUAGCAUCCUAGUACUACACAAAAGAUGGACUUCCUGGCUAAUAAAAAGUCAGAUGAUUAACCAAGAAGUUAUUAUAGUGACUCAGAGCAGAAACGGUAAGGCCGUUGGCUAACAUAGUGGUUUUUAGGAAUGGAAAACAGUGUAGAAGGCAGCAGGGACUGGAUUGGGUUUAUUCUAUGAAGAGUAAGAGAAAAGUGAGCAUGGGCUGACCUCUAGAUUUUUGGUUUGAGGAAGUCAAUGAGAAACAAGGUACAUUGGCUAUACUGACUUCUGCUUGUCCAUGAACUAUCCAGAUGGAACUGUUUAGUAAAAUAGAAUGGCCUUGAGCUCUACAGAGGGAUACAGACUGAGUUCUAAUAAGCAUAUAUGGUAGUUGAAAGAAAGGCAGCUAUUUAGUGCUUGUCAAGUGUGAGGAGAUUGACAAAAAUAGGGAACAUUGGUAUUUUAGUUUCUUCUCUUGUUGUUGUGGUAAAAAAAAAAAAAAAAAAAAAA
ensembl:lincRNA